CCGGAAAGCAUUACCUUCGCAACACUUUUGGAAAAGGGAACCGCGUGAAAACCGCGGACUGUCCCCGCAACUGUAGAUCACAACAAAAAAAUUUGCUUCAAAUAAAACCACUGGAAACGGGAAGGUGAAGCAAAUGUGAAAGUCAGGAAACCUUGCCAAAAGACUGUUUAUUU
rnacentral:ncRNA from 2 species